GACGAACGCUGGCGGCGUGCUUAACACAUGCAAGUCGAACGGAAAGGCUCCAGCUUGCUGGAGUACUCGAGUGGCGAACGGGUGAGUAACACGUGGGUAACCUGCCCUGCACUCUGGGAUAAGCCUGGGAAACUGGGUCUAAUACUGGAUAUGACCUUUCUCCGUAUGGGGUUUGGUGGAAAGUUUUUCGGUGUAGGAUGAGCCCGCGGCCUAUCAGCUUGUUGGUGGGGUGAUGGCCUACCAAGGCGACGGCGGGUAGCCGGCCUGAGAGGGUGAUCGGCCACCUUGGGACUGAGAUACGGCCCAGACUCCUAUGGGAGGCAGCAGUGGGGAAUAUUGCACAAUGGGCGGAAGCCUGAUGCAGCGACGCCGCGUGAGGGAUGACGGCCUUCGGGUUGUAAACCUCUUUCAGCAGGGACGAAGCGUAAGUGACGGUACCUGCAGAAGAAGCACCGGCUAACUACGUG
rnacentral:rRNA from 1 species